rnacentral:rRNA from 1 species
CCUACGGGGGGCUGCAGUAGGGAAUCUUUCACAAUGGGCGAAAGCCUGAUGGAGCAACGCCGCGUGCAGGAUGAAGGCCUUCGGGUUGUAAACUGCUGUUAUAAGCGAGGAAUAUUGUCGUUACUUAUGAAUCAGGCUCCGCUAACUAACUGCCAGCCGCCGCGGUCAAACGUAGGAUCCGAGCAUUAUCCCGAGUGACUGGGUGUAAAGAGUUGCGUAGGUGGCAUAAUAAGUAGCGAGUGAAAUCUGGUGGCUCAACCAUUCAGACUAUUAGCUAAACUGUUAAGCUCGAGACCGUUAGGGGUAACUGGAAUUUCGAGUGUAGGAGUGAAAUCCGUAGAUAUUAGAAGGAACACCAAUAGCGUAGGCAGGUUACUGGGACGGUUCUGACACUAAGGCACGAAAGCGUAGGGAGCAAACGGGAUUAGAUACCCUUGUAGUC